GAUGAAGAACGUAGCGAAAUGCGAUAAGUAAUGUGAAUUGCAGAAUUCAGUGAAUCAUCGAAUCUUUGAACGCACAUUGCGCCCGCCAGUAUUCUGGCGGGCAUGCCUGUCCGAGCGUCAUUUCAACCCUCGAACCCCUCCGGGGGGUCGGCGUUGGGGACCUCGGGAGCCCCUAAGACGGGAUCCCGGCCCCGAAAUACAGUGGCGGUCUCGCCGCAGCCUCUCCUGCGCAGUAGUUUGCACAACUCGCACCGGGAGCGCAGCGCGUCCACGUCCGUAAAACACCCAACUUCUGAAAUGUUGACCUCGGAUCAGGUAGGAACACCCGCUGAACUUAAGCAUAUCAAUAAGCGGAGGA
rnacentral:misc_RNA from 1 species